UACGAAGGGGGCUAGCGUUGCUCGGAAUCACUGGGCGUAAAGGGUGCGUAGGCGGGUCUUUAAGUCAGGGGUGAAAUCCUGGAGCUCAACUCCAGAACUGCCUUUGAUACUGAGGAUCUUGAGUUCGGGGAGAGGUGAGUGGAACUGCGAGUGUAGAGGUGAAAUUCGUAGAUAUUCGCAAGAACACCAGUGGCGAAGGCGGCUCACUGGCCCGAUACUGACGCUGAGGCACGAAAGCGUGGGGAGCAAACAGGAUAGAUACCC
rnacentral:rRNA from 1 species